rnacentral:rRNA from 1 species
UUCAGCUUACACCUGAAAAAUGUCUGCCAACACCAGAUCGUCUUGAUGCCAAACUCUAGCCCAAUCGACAUGACCUGGAAUAACAAAGCAACUUCCCACACCCAACUAAAGCAUUUACUAGUCCCAGUAUAGGCGAUAGAAAAGACACCAUUGGCGCGAUAGAGACUACGUACCGUAAGGGAAAGAUGAAAUAGCAAUGAAAACUAAGCUACAAACAGCAAAGAUCAACCCUUGUACCUUUUGCAUCAUGGUCUAGCAAGAAAAACCAAGCAAAAUGAAUUUAAGUUUGCCAUCCCGAAACCCAAGCGAGCUACUUACGAGCAGCUAUUAUUGAGCGAACCCGUCUCUGUGGCAAAAGAGUGGGAUGACUUGUCAGUAGCGGUGAAAAGCCAACCGAGCUGGGUGAUAGCUGGUUGCCUGUGAAACGAAUCUAAGUUCACUCUUAAUUCUUCUCCAAGGAAACCCAUAAACCCCAAUGAAGCGAAUUAAGGGCUAUUUAAAGGAGGUACAGCUCCUUUAAAAAAGAAUACAAUCUCCACGAGCGGAUAAGUAUCGACCUUCCAACUGAAUUGUGGGCCCUCAAGCAGCCAUCAACAGAGAGUGCGUUAAAGCUCCAUAUUACAAAAAUAUAAGAACUUCACGACUCCCUCCCCAUUAACAGGCCAACCUAUAUUCAAAUAGGAGAAUUAAUGCUAGAAUGAGUAACCAGGGUCCUCCCUCUACGACGCAAGCUUACAUCCGCACAUUAUUAACAAAUCACCAAUAUACGAUAAAUCAAACAAGCAGAGUAUUAAACACAUUGUUAACCCGACAAAGGAGCGUCCAUUAAGAAAGAUAAAC